GCCCUGAUGGUCUAGCGGUAUGAUUCUCCCUUAGGGAUUUGGCUUGAUCGUAAUCCACAUUUGGGAGAGGUCCCAGGUUCGAUCCCUGGUUAGGGCC